UACGUAGGUGACAAGCGUUUGUCCGGAUUUACUGGGCGUAAAGAGCGCGCAGGCGGUCGAUCAAGUCGAGUGUGAAAGCCCCCGGCUCAACUGGGGAGGGUCAUUCGAAACUGGGUCGACUCGAAGGCAGGAGAGGGUAGUGGAAUUCCCGGUGUAGUGGUGAAAUGCGUAGAUAUCGGGAGGAACACCAGUGGCGAAGGCGACUACCUGGCCUGUUCUUGACGCUGAGGCGCGAAAGCUAGGGGAGCAAACGGG
rnacentral:rRNA from 1 species